rnacentral:rRNA from 1 species
CCACGGGCGGCAGCAGUGGGGAAUAUUGGACAAUGGGCGAAAGCCUGAUCCAGCCAUGCCGCGUGUGUGAAGAAGGCCUUCGGGUUGUAAAGCACUUUCAGUGGGGAAGAAAGCCUUGGGGCUAAUACCCUCGAGGAAGGACAUCACCCACAGAAGAAGCACCGGCUAACUCCGUGCCAGCAGCCGCGGUAAUACGGAGGGUGCGAGCGUUAAUCGGAAUUACUGGGCGUAAAGCGCGCGUAGGCGGUCUGAUAAGCCGGUUGUGAAAGCCCCGGGCUCAACCUGGGAACGGCAUCCGGAACUGUCAGGCUAGAGUGCAGGAGAGGAAGGUAGAAUUCCCGGUGUAGCGGUGAAAUGCGUAGAGAUCGGGAGGAAUACCAGUGGCGAAGGCGGCCUUCUGGACUGACACUGACGCUGAGGUGCGAAAGCGUGGGUAGCAAACAGGAUUAGAUACCCGGGUAGUC